UACGAAGGGGGCUAGCGUUGUUCGGAAUUACUGGGCGUAAAGAGAGCGUAGGCGGCUCUAUAAGUUAGAUGUGAAAGCCCCGGGCUUAACCUGGGAACAGCAUUUAAUACUGUGGAGCUAGAGAGCGAUAGAGGAUGAUGGAAUUCCUAGUGUAGAAGUGAAAUUCGUAGAUAUUAGGAGGAACACCAGUGGCGAAGGCGGUCAUCUGGGUCGUUACUGACGCUAAGGCUCGAAAGCGUGGGGAGCAAACAGG
rnacentral:rRNA from 1 species